UUUUUAGUGAAGAGAUCAGGAGAGCUAUUCCAUUUGGAAAACAUUGAUUUUCAGCAGGGCCCAUUUUCCCCAAAUUCAAGGAACACAAAACCAGUUAAUUCAGAAAUGUGGGUAUAGAUGACUGUCUAGAAAUAAUUAAUUAUAACUUCUGAAGAGCUGUCAUAGGUAAUACCAUGUCUUUAAAUUAAUAACAGUUUACAUCACCUGUAUUGUGUUCCACAAAAACUGCUGUUCCAUUCUAUUUGACCUUAAUUGGUAUAAUUGAUAACAGCUACAGCUUGGAGUGUCAUUUUAAUCAUGUCAGAAGAAGUCUCCUGACAGAAGAAAAUAAAAUCGCUGUUGUGAGUUAUUUAUUAUUAGUGGGGAAACAGAAAGGUAAAAGAAAUGACUGUUGUUUUUUUUUUAACCUGCAACUUUGGGACUUCUGAAUUAUAACAGGCAAUUUACUAAUGGGAUUAAAGGGCUUGUGCUAAUUGCUAAAAAAUUAAUGAAAACUAGUUCAUAUGUAAUUUGACAUAAUUGAAAAAAUGAGAAAAUUAGUUGGUUGCAGGUUAGAGAUAUCAAUAAACAAUUCAAGACAAAGAGAAUAUUCUAAAAUGUUCUAAACGUUAGUACGACCCCUGGUGAAUAAGAUUUUUAUAACAGAUAUGCUGUUUAGCGCUGAUUAUUUAAAAGUUCAAUUUUUAAAUUUGAAGUAGAAAUGAAAAAUUAUGCUAGUUAUAAAUGUGACUAUUUAUUGCUGAUUUGAAUGGGUUGUUCAGUGUGUUCAUGGAGGCAGUGUAUACAUGGGGUUAAAUGUUGAAAAAAUAGAUAUUGCUGGUUUAAUAGUCUUUUUGUGAUAAAACACAGAGUCAAUAGUGAGUCUCCUAAGCCCUUUUUCUACCAAAUAUUGCUGAAUUAUUAUAAAAUAAUGAGCUGGUCUUUCCAAGAAAACAUUUUGUCUUUCACCUUUAUCACUACUUUUUAGAUAUUUCUUUCUGUUUUUCAAAAAAUAAUAGGAAGGCAAAAUUUAACAAUAGGAACUCAGGAUUUUAAUUUUUUUUGGCAAUUGAAAAAUGUGUACUCUAUCUACCUAUUGAAGAAAUCUGAAUUCUGAGCCAUUUCUUAUUUCUUGCUUUGUUCUUGUUUUUUUUAAAUUUGAGUAACAUGCAUACUCUCCUUUAUGACUUGUAACAAUUGAGUCAUUAUGAUAUGUUUGUAGUUUAGUGUGUGAUAUGGUUUGGCUCUGUGUCCCUAUCCAAAUCUCAUCUUGAAUUGUAAUCCCCACGUGUCCAGGGAGCACCCAGGUGGAGGUAAUUAGAUCAUGCUGUUCUCAUGAUGUGAAUGAGUUCUCACAAGAUCUGAUGGUUUUGUAAGUGUUUGGAAGUUCCUCCUGCAUUCACUCACUCCAUCCUCUUGACCUGUGAAGAAGGCAUCUGCUUGUCCUUUGCCUCCUGCCAUGAUUAAAGGUUUCUUGAAGCCUCCCCAGCAAUGUGGAACUAAUGUGAAACCCCGAAGCUUUGCUGCCUUUUCCACAAACCUGUGAGUCUUCCAUAUCUCUUCCUACUUGUUGCUCACUCAUCCUCCAAAACUAAAUUUACCAUGUACAUUACAUCUUUAAUGUAUUACAUCUUUAAUGUAUAUCUCUCCCCUACCGAGGAAGAUGGAAAAAUACAUAUUGCAAGAAAGGUUGAAUUCAUAUUGAUUAGGUAAGAAAGUCUAAUUUCCAAAUUAGAACUUGAUAAAAGAAUACAAUUAGAGAUUAUAAUCACUUUGAGAAAAAGAUCUGGCAGUGUCCUAUAAA